GAUGGAAGGAAGCUGGAUGAGUUCUACUGUGAGAGAUAAAGUUACGUUUCUUUGUACAUUUAUGUCUUGCGGUCUGAUAGAAAAGAAGUUUCAGAAAUGCAGCCAACAGUGCACUCUGGUGGCGGGUUUCAGUAUUAACCAUCUGUAAAACAGGCGCUAGAAAGGCUUUGCUUUAAGAUGGAAUCAGCACACAGUUACAGCUUUUGGUGCUAGUCAGCCCUGUAGUUUGCAGAUGGGGGGGGUCUACAUAGUAGUCAUGGUUACCAAGCUCUGCGUUUCCC